AGCGCACCCCUAUCCUUAUUUGCCAGCGCAUAAUGGCGGGAGCUAUAAGGAGACUGCCGGUCAUAAACCGGAGGAAGGCGGGGACGACGUCAAGUCAUCAUGGCCCUUAUGGGUAGGGCUACACACGUGAUACAAUGGGUGGUACAGAGGGUCGCCAAAGCGCGAGCUGGAGCCAAACCCUUAAAACCAUUCUUAGUCCGGAUUGGAGUCUGCAACUCGACUCCAUGAAGUCGGAAUCGCUAGUAAUCGCGAAUCAGAAUGUCGCGGUGAAUACGUUCUCGGGCCUUGUACACACCGCCCGUCACGUCAUGGAAGUGGGUUGCACCAGAAGUGGCUUGUCUAACCUUCGGGAAAACGGUCACCACGGUGUGAUUCACAACUGGGACGAAGUCGUGACAGGGUAGCCCUAGGGGAACCUGGGGCUGGAUCA
rnacentral:rRNA from 1 species